rnacentral:rRNA from 1 species
AAUGAACGCUGGCGGCAUGCCUUACACAUGCAAGUCGAACGGCAGCAUGACCUAGCUUGCUAGGUUGAUGGCGAGUGGCGAACGGGUGAGUAAUGCAUCGGAACGUGCCUUUUAGUGGGGGAUAACGUAGCGAAAGUUACGCUACUACCGCAUAUUCUCUGAGGAGGAAAGCAGGGGACCUUCGGGCCUUGCGCUAGAAGAGCGGCCGAUGUCGGAUUAGCUAGUUGGUGAGGUAAAGGCUCACCAAGGCAACGAUCCGUAGCGGGUCUGAGAGGAUGAUCCGCCACACUGGGACUGAGACACGGCCCAGACUCCUACGGGAGGCAGCAGUGGGGAAUUUUGGACAAAGGGCGCAAGCCUGAUCCAGCCAUGCCGCGUGAGUGAAGAAGGCCUUCGGGUUGUAAAGCUCUUUCGGCUGGGAAGAAAUCGCACCCUCUAAUACAGGGUGUGGAUGACGGUACCAGCAUAAGAAGCACCGGCUAACUACGUG